rnacentral:rRNA from 1 species
GGUUUCUUGUUAAUUAUGAUGAAUAGGAAAUUUGGCCUGCCCACUGAAUUAAUUUGAAGGGCCGCAGUAUCUUGACUGUGCGAAGGUAGCAUAAUCAUUAGUCUUUUAAUUGAAGGCUUGUAUGAAUGGUUGGACGAGGUGAAUACUGUUUUAUAUUGAUUGUUAAGUUGAAUUUGGAUUUUAAGUAAAAAUACUUAAAUUUUAUUAAGGGACGAGAAGACCCUAUAGAGUUUAAUAAGUUUAAUUAAUUAUUAAGUUAAUUAAUAAUUUUUUUUAUUAUUAGUUUUGUUUAUUUAAUUGGGGUGAUUUAAAGAUAAGUAAAACUCUUUUUUUUUAUAAAUAUUUUUUUGUAGAUUAAUGAUCCAUUAAAUAUUGAUUAUAAGAAUAAAUUACCUUAGGGAUAACAGCAUAAUUUUUUUUGAGAGUUCUUAUUGAAAAAAAAGAUUGUGACCUCGAUGUUGGAUUAAGAUGAAAUUUGGGUGCAGAUGUUCAAAAGUUUAGGUCUGUUCGACCUUUAAAAUCUUACA